AUGAUGUCAAGGGACAUGUCUGUGUUCAGCACAAAUAAAACUGAGAACCAGAACUCGAUUUAUCUUCCAUUACUUGGGACUGUGACACUUUGGGAGGAGAUGUUCUGGGAAGAGCAAGCCUUUUCUAUGACAACAAAUUGCUUUCCACUGCACCAGGCUUCUUGGGAAGAGAAAGAAGUGGGCUACCACCACGGAGAGGUCUGUCUCUUUCGCAACAAGAACAACUCCACUGAGGGAGAAAUCUUAUGGUUAUAUCCACCUGAGACACUGACUUAGGAGGAAACUGGUUAUGGCAGGUUUAAAACCUUACUGUGAAUUCUUGGAUACUCUUUCCAUUGAGAGGUGGGAUAUCUGUUUCUUGCCCUUAAAUCUGGGAAAGCUUUGGCAAAUAUGAUUCAGUGAAAGUGAUGCUUUGUGACUUUUGAGAAUAACAUAAAAGACCAUGCAGCUUCUGCCUUGUUUGCUGGAAAUGCUCACUCAUGGAAUGCUGAGCUGCUACUAAGAAGUCCAUUUCUCUGAGAUUGCCAUGCUAUAAGGGUCACAUAUAAGCUCUCUAGUAAAAAGUCUAAGUUUAUACCCUUCUUUAGCUACCCUAAUCCAGGAUCCAGAUAUAUGAAACAAGAUUCUAUGUUGCAAGUAGACUCUCC
rnacentral:lncRNA from 1 species